CCUAAGGCGAGGCCGAAAGGCGUAGUCGAUGGACAACAGGUAGAGAUUCCUGUACUUGUAUAUAUGUGAAGGAAUGACGGAGAGAGAAAGCUGAAGCCAGCGGCUGGAAGAGCUGGUGCAAGCGAGAUAGCGGGAUGGCAGGCAAAUCCGCCAUCCACAACGCGAAGACGUGAUGCGAACGGAAAGCUACGGCGAGUACGGAAGUCAGUGGACGAGCUUCCAAGAAAAGUUUCUAACAUAAGUAUAUGCAACCCGUACCGAAAAUGGACACACAUGGGUGAGGAGAGAAUCCUAAGGUGAGCGAGAGAACUAUAGCUAAGGAACUCUGCAAAAUGACUCCGUAACUUAGGGAGAAGGAGUGCUCAUAGAGAUAUGAGCCGCAGUGAAACGGCCCAAGCGACUGUUUACCAAAAACACAGCUCUCUGCUAAGCCGCAAGGCGAAGUAUAGGGGGUGACGCCUGCCCGGUGCUGGAAGGUUAAGGGGAGGGGUUAACGCAAGUGAAGCCCUGAACUGAAGCCCCAGUAAACGGCGGCCGUAACUAUAACGGUCCUAAGGUAGCGAAAUUCCUUGUCAGGUAAGUUCUGACCCGCACGAAAGGCGUAACGAUUUGGGCGCUGUCUCAGCUGUAGACUCGGUGAAGUCUUAGUACCUGUGAAGAUGCAGGUUACCCGCGACUAGACGGAAAGACCCCAUGGAGCUUCACUGCAGGUUGAUAUUGGGAUUUGAUGCAGCAUGUACAGGAUAGGUAGGAGGCAAAGAGAUGGAUACGCCAGUAUUCAAGGAGCCGCUGUUGGGAUACUACCCCUGUUGUAUUGGAUUUCUAACCGGACGACGUAGAGCCGUUGACGGGACAGUGUCAGUCGGGCAGUUUGACUGGGGCGGUCGCCUCCCAAAGAGUAACGGAGGCGCCCAAAGAUACCCUCAGCUUGGAUGGAAACCAAGCGCAGAGUGCAAAGGCAAAAGGGUGUUUGACUGCGAGACCCACAAGUCGAGCAGGGACGAAAGUCGGGCUUAGUGAUCCGGCGGUGCUGAAUGGAAAGGCCGUCGCUCAACGGAUAAAAGCUACCCUGGGGAUAACAGGCUGAUCUCCCCCAA
rnacentral:rRNA from 1 species